rnacentral:rRNA from 1 species
GACGAACGCUGGCGGCGUGCUUAACACAUGCCAGUCGAACGGAAAGGCCCUGCUUUUGUGGGGUGCUCGAGUGGCGAACGGGUGAGUAACACGUGAGUAACCUGCCCUUGACUUUGGGAUAACUUCAGGAAACUGGGGCUAAUACCGGAUAGGAGCUCCUGCUGCAUGGUGGGGGUUGGAAAGUUUCGGCGGUUGGGGAUGGACUCGCGGCUUAUCAGCUUGGUGGUGGGGUAGUGGCUUACCAAGGCUUUGACGGGUAGCCGGCCUGAGAGGGUGAGCGGCCACAUUGGGACUGAGAUACGGCCCAGACUACUACGGGAGGCAGCAGUGGGGAAUAUUGCACAAGGGGCGGAAGCCUGAUGCAGCAACGCCGCGUGCGGGAUGACGGCCUUCGGGUUGUAAACCGCUUUCGCCUGUGACGAAGCGUGAGUGACGGUAAUGGGUAAAGAAGCACCGGCUAACUACGUG